rnacentral:rRNA from 1 species
GACGAACGCUGGCGGCGUGCCUAAUACAUGCAAGUCGAACGCAGUGGGGACGGGUGAGUAACACGUGGGUAACCUCCCAUCAGAGGGGAUAACACUUGGAAACAGGUGCUAAACCGAUACUGAUGGAUGGACCCGCGGUGCAUUAGCUAGUUGGGGAGGUAACGGCUCACCAAGGCCAGGAUGCAUAGCCGACCGGAGAGAUUGAUGGGCCACACUGGCACUGGGAACCGGCCCAGACCCCUACGGGAGGCAUCAGUGGGAAAUCUUCGGAAAUGGACGAAAGUCGAACCGAGCAACGCCGCGUUAGUGAAGAAGGUUUUCGGUUCGUAAAACUCUGUUGUCAGGGAAGCGGUAUCUAACCAGAAAGCCACGGCUAACUACGUGCCAGCAGCCGCGGUAAUUC